GGUGACGUAACCUCUGGAAACAGCCUGAAUACGAGUCAGCAACACAGACAGACGCUCGUCCCUCAUCUCCUCCAGGAGACCCAGCAGCCCCGCUUUGAAAAACACCUGCAGGGUCAAAGUGAUCGACGUCGAUGGAGGACAGAAGCUUCUCUGACGCCUUCUUACUGUCGAUGAACUGACCCUCAGGGAUCGCACUUGCAUUCAGAAUCCUGUACCUCUGUCUGAAGUCUCCGUACAGGAUCCUGCUGGGGAAUCCUUUUCUGCAGAUCCUGAUUCCUUCUAAAACUCCAUUACAGCGAAGCUGAUGAAGAACAAGAUGAUGAUCCAUGGAGCCUGCAAGAUGAAAUUACAUUAGUUAUAAAGGUUCAGCAUUUCAUGGUUUAACAUGUUGGCAAUGAAUGACAUCAUCCUUUCUCAUAUCUGGAGUGUAUGAAGCUAGAGCAAGCAGCAGCUAGCUUAGCUUAGCAUAAAAUGCACUGGAAACAGAUGGAAAUAGCUAACAUUGUUUUUUCACAUGCACUUUAAAGCUAAUCAAAAUAUUUUAUUUUCCUUUUCAUCUUUUUCUUUGAGUCAAAACUACAUGCAUUAAAAGUAGUCCAUCUUCUCUA